rnacentral:rRNA from 1 species
CUACGGGCUGCAGCAGUGGGGAAUUUUGGACAAUGGGCGAAAGCCUGAUCCAGCCAUUCCGCGUGAGUGAUGAAGGCCUUCGGGUUGUAAAGCUCUUUCGGCCGGGAAGAAAUCGUGCAGGCUAAUAUCCUGCAUGGAUGACGGUACCGGACCAAGAAGCACCGGCUAACUACGUGCCAGCAGCCGCGGUAAUACGUAGGGUGCGAGCGUUAAUCGGAAUUACUGGGCGUAAAGCGUGCGCAGGCGGAUGUUUAAGCCAGAUGUGAAAUCCCCGGGCUUAACCCGGGAAUGGCAUUUGGAACUGGACAUCUAGAGUGUGUCAGAGGGGGGUGGAAUUCCACGUGUAGCAGUGAAAUGCGUAGAGAUGUGGAGGAACACCGAUGGCGAAGGCAGCCCCCUGGGAUAACACUGACGCUCAUGCACGAAAGCGUGGGGAGCAAACAGGAUUAGAUACCCCUGUAGUC